GGAUUAGGCAUGCAAGUCGCACGAGAAAGGCUUCUUCGGAAGCCGAGUAAAGUGGCGAACGGGUGAGUAAUGCAUAGACAACUCGCCCUUGAGAUGGGGACAACGCCUCGAAAGGGGUGCUAAUACCCAAUGCCGCCUUGGGCCUGCGGGUCCAGGGUGAAAGGAGGCCUCUGAUUCAAGCUUCCGCUCAAGGAGAGGUUUAUGUCCUAUUAGCUAGUUGGCGGGGUAACGGCCCACCAAGGCUGCGAUGGGUAGCCGACCUGAGAGGGUGACCGGCCACAUUGGGACUGAGACACUGCCCAGACUCCUACGGGAGGCUGCAGUCGAGAAUCUUCCGCAAUGCGCGCAAGCGUGACGGAGCGACGCCGCGUGGGUGAUGAAGGCCUUCGGGUUGUAAAACCCUGUCAGCUACUACGAAACACGGGCGAUGAACAAUCGUCCCGUCUGACUUAAGUAGCAGAGGAGGCACCGGCUAACUACGUGCCAGCGGCCGCGGUAAUACGUAGGGUGCGAACGUUGUUCGGAAUCACUGGGCAUAAAGGGCGCGUAGGCGGUCUGAUAAGUCAGGUGUGAAAUCCCUCGGCCUAACCGAGGAACUGCAUUUGAUACUGUCGGGCUAGAGUACAGGAGGGGAGAGUGGAAUUCCUGGUGGAGCGGUGAAAUGCGUAGAUAUCAGGAGGAACGCCGGCGGCGAAAGCGACUCUCUGGCCUGUUACUGACGCUGAGGCGCGAAAGCUAGGGGAGCAAACGGGAUUAGAUACCCCGGUAGUCCUAGCCCUAAACGAUGGGCACUAAGUAGAGGGGUUUU
rnacentral:rRNA from 1 species